GUGCUUGCUUUGGCAGCACACAUACUACAAUCAGAAUGAUACAGAGAAGAUUGGCAUGACCCUUGAGCAAGGAUGACCCACGAAUUUGUGAAGUAUUCCAUAUUAAA